GCGCCGGUGGUGUAAUGGCGUAGAGCAUUCCCGCCCGGUCAGAAGGAGGUGCGGGUUCGAGUCCCGCCUGGCGCU
rfam:Heligmosomoides polygyrus genome assembly, scaffold: HPBE_scaffold0000014